rnacentral:tRNA from 1 species
GUGGUCUAAUGGUUGAGACUCUGUGCUUCCAACGCAGGGGGCACAGGUUAAAUCCCUGGUC